AGCUUUCUAGCAGCGUGCCCGGAGUCAGACUCGUGCUAACUGCUGUGUAGCGGAGACCUCUGCCUUUCCAUCAGCAGCCCUGACAUUUAAAACCUCUGCUGGUGAGACGUUGCUUCCCUCUAAGGCUGCAUCGGGCCAAGAAAAGUUGCCGAGAUUUGGCUCCUCUACGAUCCCAGUGUGAACACAUGUUGGGAAUGCUCAUGGAAAGAGGGAAUAGGAAGGGGAAAUGGAGAUACUGCAGGAAGAAGAUAGGAAGGUGGAGAAAUGUUUUUCUCCUCCCUUCCUCUCCUCAUCUCCUUGAUAAUGUUCUUUUUUCUCUCCACCUUUAAACUUUGCAACUUUCAAUUAGUAACAUUUUCUUACAGCAGUCGCUGAUGCUGUUACAAAUGUACCCUUUCUUGUGGAGUCAGCUCUUACUAGCAUUUGCCAGGAUGUAUUGCUUUGGAGUAUGGCUGAUGCAGCAGGCUGAAGAAGUGGGGGACUAACAGCAGCCCUACCAGGGAGGUUGGAGACUCUGGGCUCCCCCCAGCUGUCCUUGGAGUGAAUGGAUUUCCAAAACAGAGGAUAGAAACGACAUGUAUUGAGACUCACUUUUAUUCAACUCAGCCCGUCUUCUAAAAAAGGAAGAAUUGUCAACAGCCGCAAGGUCAACCCUGGAGUUUUCUGCGCUUCAUUCUGGCAUACAGCUUGUAUUACCAUGUAGUAUCUGUGUAACUUUUAUGGCACUUGAACCAUUAGUCCAUGUUUUUAUACUGACAAGCUUAUAGAUUGAGAUGUGACAAACUAAGCAUGAUAAAGUUGCAGAUCAUAUUUUAAAGGUAUUUUAAGGCAUAUAUACAAGACAUUAGGAAGUUCAAUUUUAAUUUUGAGUUCUGGUUCUGUGUGUACUAAUCAUUACUGUUUGUAUGAAUUGCCUUUUAAUUUACUUGUAAGAGAAAUGCUAAAUUGGCUCUUCUGGGUUAUGUAGCUUAAUUUGUACUCUGCCUGCGGAGUUAGGUCCAGAGCUAAUCCAUUUGAGUACCUAACUUUAACCAGGUCUUUAACUCUUUUGAGCCUUUCGUGAAAGUAUUCAAGUAUUUCCUUUGUAUUUCUGUUGGUUUCCAUGUAUUCUCUUUGUACAGCUUGGUUUUGGUAAAUGGUAUCAGUGAAUGUUAGUAAAAAAUAAAUAAAAAAGUCUCCUGUUAUGCAAA